rnacentral:rRNA from 1 species
CGUGAGAUGUUGGGUUAAGUCCCGCAACGAGCGCAACCCUUGUCAUUAGUUGCUACGAAAGGGCACUCUAAUGAAACUGCCGGUGACAAACCGGAGGAAGGUGGGGAUGACGUCAAGUCCUCAUGGCCCUUAUGGGUAGGGCUUCACACGUCAUACAAUGGUGCAUACAGAGGGUUGCCAACCCGCGAGGGGGAGCUAAUCCCAGAAAGUGCAUCGUAGUCCGGAUUGGAGUCUGCAACUCGACUCCA